AAAUUUGAGUACUUAAACAAAGGAGAGUAGAGGAAGAGGGGAAAGGCAAGUCCUUUUUUGCUGCAAACCCCAAUUCAGAAAACUAGUGUUGAAUUAGUAUGUUCCCACUCCCAUCGACCCUUUCGUCAUAAUUUCCGGUUCCCCUCCCUCAUCUCUACGCGAUUCCUUUUGGUAGAAUUCAAUGUAAGAGUCGGCGAACGGAGCUACAUAAUGGCUCAAUCUGGCAGUGGCGCUGCUGGAAUUGUUAACACUUACCCAAAAAAAUUUGACCGAGAGGAGUACCUGCAACGUGCUCGGGACCGCGAAGCUAAGGAAGAAGCCCGGAACAAGUCAAAAUCAAGUGGUCCACCAGUGCAAAGGAAACCAUUGAAGCACAGAGAUUAUGAAGUGUACCUCGAAUCACGCCUGGGGAAGACUCAGGCUGGAUACUACUGCUCAGUUUGCGAAUGUGUAGUUAAAGAUUCAGCAAACUACUUGGAUCAUAUAAAUGGAAAAAAGCAUUAACGAGCUCUGGGAAUGUAACCUUGGAGCAGACAGGUCCAGCAACGGUUUGAGGUUCUUAAAAAGAGGACAGAUACUCCAGGCUUUACAGAGCAAGACUUUGAUGAACGGAUCCUAAAACAACUAGAAGAGGAGGAAAGAAAGCAACAACGUCAAGAGAAAAA